GAUGAACGCUGGCGGCGUGCCUAAUACAUGCAAGUCGAGCGAACGGACGAGAAGCUUGCUUCUCUGAUGUUAGCGGCGGACGGGUGAGUAACACGUGGAUAACCUACCUAUAAGACUGGGAUAACUUCGGGAAACCGGAGCUAAUACCGGAUGAUAUUUUGAACCGCAUGGUUCAAAAGUGAAAGACGGUCUUGCUGUCACUUAUAGAUGGAUCCGCGCUGCAUUAGCUAGUUGGUAAGGUAACGGCUUACCAAGGCAACGAUGCAUAGCCGACCUGAGAGGGUGAUCGGCCACACUGGAACUGAGACACGGUCCAGACUCCUACGGGAGGCAGCAGUAGGGAAUCUUCCGCAAUGGGCGAAAGCCUGACGGAGCAACGCCGCGUGAGUGAUGAAGGUCUUCGGAUCGUAAAACUCUGUUAUUAGGGAAGAACAUAUGUGUAAGUAACUGUGCACAUCUUGACGGUACCUAAUCAGAAAGCCACGGCUAACUACGUGCCAGCAGCCGCGGUAAUACGUAGGUGGCAAGCGUUAUCCGGAAUUAUUGGGCGUAAAGCGCGCGUAGGCGGUUUUUUAAGUCUGAUGUGAAAGCCCACGGCUCAACCGUGGAGGGUCAUUGGAAACUGGAAAACUUGAGUGCAGAAGAGGAAAGUGGAAUUCCAUGUGUAGCGGUGAAAUGCGCAGAGAUAUGGAGGAACACCAGUGGCGAAGGCGACUUUCUGGUCUGUAACUGACGCUGAUGUGCGAAAGCGUGGGGAUCAAACAGGAUUAGAUACCCUGGUAGUCCACGCCGUAAACGAUGAGUGCUAAGUGUUAGGGGGUUUCCGCCCCUUAGUGCUGCAGCUAACGCAUUAAGCACUCCGCCUGAGGAGUACGACCGCAAGGUUGAAACUCAAAGGAAUUGACGGGGACCCGCACAAGCGGUGGAGCAUGUGGUUUAAUUCGAAGCAACGCGAAGAACCUUACCAAAUCUUGACAUCCUUUGACAACUCUAGAGAUAGAGCUUUCCCCUUCGGGGGACAAAGUGACAGGUGGUGCAUGGUUGUCGUCAGCCCGUGUCGUGAGAUGUUGGGUUAAGUCCCGCAACGAGCGCAACCCUUAAGCUUAGUUGCCAUCAUUAAGUUGGGCACUCUAAGUUGACUGCCGGUGACAAACCGGAGGAAGGUGGGGAUGACGUCAAAUCAUCAUGCCCCUUAUGAUUUGGGCUACACACGUGCUACAAUGGACAAUACAAAGGGCAGCGAAACCGUGAGGUCAAGCAAAUCCCAUAAAGUUGUUCUCAGUUCGGAUUGUAGUCUGCAACUCGACUACAUGAAGCUGGAAUCGCUAGUAAUCGUAGAUCAGCAUGCUACGGUGAAUACGUUCCCGGGUCU
rnacentral:rRNA from 1 species